rfam:Trichobilharzia regenti genome assembly, scaffold: TRE_scaffold0001892
GUACUGAUGAAGAGUCUGAAACUAGGACGAAAUAGCUAUCCAGUAC